rnacentral:ncRNA from 1 species
GUAGAUAGAGGUCGCGUGUUUCAUCAGUAACUGGUUGGAUGUGGUCAGGCACAGGAAAAGAUCAGGGAAAGGGGAAGACGCCGAAAGAAAGAAGAAGCCUGAAGCUUUUUUCUUGGGCAUAUGGCUAACAGCCAUAUGACUGUCAUUAUGCCUGUACAGGCAAAAUGGAGCGCUAUCG